rnacentral:rRNA from 1 species
GGGCCCGCACAAGCGGUGGAGCAUGUGGUUUAAUUCGAUGCAACGCGAAGAACCUUACCAGGACUUGACAUACUACAAAUUCUUUUGAGAAAAAUGAAGAUGCCUUCGGGAAUGUAGAUACAGGUGGUGCAUGGCUGUCGUCAGCUCGUGUCGUGAGAUGUUGGGUUAAGUCCCGCAACGAGCGCAACCCUUAUUUUUAGUUACCAAUUCGUUGGGUUCUCUAGAAAGACUGCCGGUGACAACCGGAGAAGGUGAGGAUGACGUCAAGUCAGCAUGCCCCUUAUGUCCUGGGCUACACACGUGCUACAAUGGUUAAGACAAAGAGUCGCGAGCUCGCAAGAGUCAG